rnacentral:rRNA from 1 species
GACGUAGGGCGCGAGCGUUGUCCGGAUUUAUUGGCGUAAAGAGCUCGUAGGCGGCUUGUUGCGUCAGCUGUGAAAACCCGCAGCUCAACUGUGGCUUGCAGCUGAUACGGGCAGGCUUGAGUUCGGUAGGGAGACUGGAAUUCCUGGAUGUAGCGGUGAAAUGACGCAGAUAUCAGGAGGAACACCGGUGGCGAAGGCGGGUCUCUGGA